AUUUUAUAUGAGAGUUUGAUCCUGGCUCAGGACGAACGCUGGCGGCGUGCCUAAUACAUGCAAGUCGAACGCACUGACGU
rnacentral:rRNA from 1 species